CAGAGUCUUAGGAAAAAUGAAAUCAUUCUUUUAAUUGGCAAAAUAACAAAAGAAUAUAAGCAAGUCAUAUUGAAAAAAGUCAAAAUGAAUAGAACAUUUCUGAAUUGACAUCAUUACCAUUUAAUUAAUAAUAAUCGAAUCCUCAGUAAAAUUAACUUUGAACUUAGAUAGAACAAGAGUGCACACACUGAAAUGUCUCGCCUUCUAUACUAAUCAUUGAUAUCAUGUUGAUAAUCCUAAGUAUAAAGCUUAGCUUUAUUACAACUGUCACAUAAACUUAACAUUAACCAAGAUAACUAAACAAAGACCAAUGAACCUUGAAAAUGAGGUCAAGGUCAGAUGAACCAUGCCAGGCAGACAUGUACAGCUAACAAUGCGUCUAUACAACAUAUAAAGUUGACCCAUUACUUAAAGUUUAAGAAAAAUAGACCACAACACAAAAACUUAAAACUGUGCAAUGAACCAUGAAAAUGAGGUCACGGUCAAAUAAAACCUGCACGACUGACAUAAAGAUCAUAAAAUAUUUCCAUACACCAAAUAUAGUUGACCUAUGGCAUAUAGUAUUAGAUAAAAAGACCAAAACUCAAAAACUUAACUUUGACCACUGAACCAUGAAAAUGAGGUCAAGGUCACAUGACAUCUGCCCGCUAGACAUGUACACCUUACAAUCAUUCCAUACAACAAAUAUAGUAGACCUAUUGCAUUUAGUAUGAGAAAAACAGACCAUAACACAAAAAUUUAACUAUAACCACUGAACCAUGAAAAUGAGGUCAAGGUCAGAUGACACCUGCCAGUUGGACAUGUACACCUUACAGUCCUUCCAUACACCGAAUAUACUAGCCCUAUUGCUUAUAGUAUCUGAGAUAUGGACUUGACCACCAAAACUUAACCUUGUUCACUGAUCCAUGAAAUGAGGUCGAGGUCAAGUGAAAACUGUCUGACAGACAUGAGGACCUUGAAAGGUAUGCACAUAUCAAAUAUUGUUAUCCU
rnacentral:lncRNA from 1 species